rnacentral:rRNA from 1 species
UGGGGAAUAUUGGACAAUGGGGGAAACCCUGAUCCAGCCAUUCCGCGUGAGUGAAGAAGGCCUUCGGGUUGUAAAGCUCUUUUGUCCGGAACGAAACGGCUACGACUAAUACUCGUGGCUACUGACGGUACCGGAAGAAUAAGCACCGGCUAACUACGUGCCAGCAGCCGCGGUAAUACAGAGAGUGCGAACGUUGUUCGGAAUUACUGGGCUUAAAGCGCACGUAGGCGGCAUCGUAAGUGUCUGGUGAAAUCCCACGGCUCACCCGUGGAACUGCCAGGCAUACUGUGAUGCUCGAGUGUGGUAGGGGAGAGCGGAACUCCUGGUGGAGCGGUGAAAUGCGUAGAUAUCAGGAGGAACACCGGUGGCGAAGGCGGCUCUCUGGUCCACAACUGACGCUGAGGUGCGAAAGCUAGGGGAGCAAA